AAUUGUUUCCUCCAGCACUUCUUCCUAAGCUCUUGGGUAUACGUACCCACAGGAGUUUGGGACUCUUGGUAGGAGCAGAGAAGCUCUCAUGCUAUAAUCCCCUGCAGAGCAGAAGCCACCAUCUGUGGGAAUCAUCACAAGGGGAAACAGGCUCGUGCAUGUUCUGAAAUGAGACAUGGUGAAGCAGAGUUUGGGCCGGUAGUGCCAGCCCAGGGUCAGAGCAGACAGGUCUCUCCAGUCACACGGUAGGCUCAGGAUGGCUGCAGGAUCUUCCCUGGGUGCCACUAGGAGAGCCCUGUGCGUCUGGGUCGUGACUGCCGGAGGCAAACCAACAACAGGCCUGGACCUGCUUGUGUGCCUGGCUCUGAGGCAACGGCAGCGCCUCUAAACGUGCACAUGCCCGUCUGGGAGGCAGAGCCCACGGAGCAGGUGAGCCGGUGUGCAGGCCCAUGACCCUGGGCACCCAGGGUGCAAAUGGCAGCUCGUAGGCUCUACUUAACAACUUCCAAGAAGCAGCAGCAUUUGCCUUUAGAACACCAACAUGAAGAUGUUUAAAACAAAAUUAAACCGAGUCCUAGGCACCCUGUGUGUAUUUGCUCCUGAGAGAAUAUCCUUGGAUUUCUUUAUGAUUUGAGGACCUUAUGAGAAAAGCACUAUAAAAUGUAAAAUAAUACUGUGUUAAUGUCUUAUAAAAACAAAAAAAAACUUAUUAAAAAUGUGAAUCUA